rnacentral:rRNA from 1 species
UGGGGAAUCUUGGACAAUGGGCGCAAGCCUGAUCCAGCCAUACCGCGUGAGUGAAGAAGGCCUUCGGGUUGUAAAGCUCUUUCAGACGGAAAGAAACGGUUACGGCUAAUACCCGUGACUAAUGACGGUACCGUAAGAAGAAGCACCGGCUAACUACGUGCCAGCAGCCGCGGUAAUACGUAGGGUGCGAGCGUUAAUCGGAAUUACUGGGCGUAAAGCGUGCGCAGGCGGCAAUUCAAGUCAUCUGUGAAAUCUCCGGGCUUAACUCGGAACGGUCAGAUGAUACUGCUUUGCUAGAGUGCAGAAGGGGCAAUCGGAAUUCUUGGUGUAGCGGUGAAAUGCGUAGAUAUCAAGAGGAACACCUGAGGUGAAGACGGGUUGCUGGGCUGACACUGACGCUGAGGCGCGAAAGCCAGGGGAGCAAACGGGAUUAGAUACCCCUGUAGUCCCUGAGCGGGCUGGCAAGGCGCAU